UACGUAGGGUGCGAGCGUUGCCCGGAUUUAUUGGGCGUAAAGGGCGCGUAGGUGGUCACGCACGUCCGUUGUGAAAUCGCUCGGCUCAACUGGGCGGGUCAGCGGAUACGGCGUGGCUGGAGCAAGCUAGGGGGCAAUGGAAUUCCCGGUGUAGUGGUGGAAUGCGUAGAUAUCGGGAGGAACACCAGUGGCGAAGGCGGUUGCCUGGAGCUUUGCUGACGCUGAUGCGCGAAAGCGUGGGGAGCGAGUCGG
rnacentral:rRNA from 1 species